rfam:Loxodonta africana unplaced genomic scaffold scaffold_108, whole genome shotgun sequence.
GGGGGUGUAGCUCAGUGGUAGAGCGCGUGCUUCGCAUGUACGAAGUCCCGGGUUCAAUCCCCGGUGCCUCCA